AAUGGACAAAUCGUUUGGACCCUAGGCCCAAACAACCAAGGGUUGAAAAACUACUCAUACGCAAGCUGAAGAAGCGAGCCUUCAUUCUCACUCGGCACAAGCUGAAACAGAAAAAAAAAACUCAUUUGAAGAAAAGCCAAAACGUGAAUGCAAAGCGCCCCGCUUCGACAUCCCUUCAUCCUCGCCGUUCGCGAUCGUGCCUGUUCGAGAAGACUGUUCGCGUCCAUGCCGGUUCGAGAAACGAAUCGAAUUCAACCAUGUGUUUGUGUUCUAGAUCCGAAGGUUCAUCGUUUUACAGGUUCAUGACAUUCAUCCACCACGUGGUUUACUCCAUUCAACUCCUAACACUCGACGAUUCAACUCACGUGCUAUCAUUCGCGCACAUAAUGAAGAAGCAACUAAAUAUUGUCGCAGGCGAAUCGAAAACUUACCGGAUUCGAAGCUUCAAUCACAAACAGAUUAUGCAUUUUCAUGAAGGAGUUUCAAGUGGAAAUACUGUGAAUCAAAGGCAAUGCAAAUGCUGCUUGGGUCAUUGAAGUGUGGGAUCGAAUUUUAAGGUUUUUAGGAACUUAGGUUAUAUGUUGGUUCAUACCUUGCUUUUGGAAUUGUAAUGCAUUGCCAUGGAAUUGUAUAUACUUGAAUGGAAUUGAAAUGGAUUUGUAAAUGGAAAGUUUGAAAAUUUAUGGAAUUGUAUUGAAGAUUAUAAUUGUAACUUUGAGAUUGGAAUUCGUUUGACAUUGUAUUUUGAAUGUAAAAUUGAGAUUUUGGUUGAAUGUAUAUGGAAUUUUGGUUGAA